GUUAAACAUGUGUGGAGGUGUCUGAAGUAAUGAUUGUUCGGGAUUUAUAAAUUUAACUGUAGGUACGUGUUCAUAAUAAUUCAAGACAUGCGUAGUGCAUCCAAAUUCGAAACAUGGUCCAAGCAUACUGUUGGAACAAAUCUAAACACAAUUGAAAUCCGUUCAUUAAACACCUUUACGGAAAUUUAAAAAGGAACAAAAUUUACGUAUUAUGUACAUACAUGUUUUUAUUAGAGGUUUUAGUGCGCGAUUCGACUCGAAAAUUUCAACUCGUUAACGAGACGAAAAGUUUAAAGUGCGCGAUCGAUAAUGCGGUUUGCCGAAAGUGAUUAGUAAAUUUCGGUAUCGGUGGUUUCGGUGUGUCGCGAAUCGAUUUUAAAAGUGUUGGACAAUAUGGAAACUGGUAUAUGGGUAUGGAAUAUGGAUAUGGAGAUUCUGUUUCGUGGAUAAUAAUAAGUGAGUACAUUUUUUUACUUAUCAAAUUAGGUUAGGUAAUUACGUUUUUUAAUGAGAGUACGUUGAU